UGUCAUGAUUUCUCUGUGGGCUUUUGUAAUAAUAACGGCCAUGGCACCGAGAACGAGCGGCCAAGAUUCAGUUUCCCCGGAAUCACUUGAGCAAACGAUUCAGGAAGGAGCUAAUGUAAGCCUGAACUGCAGUUACCAAACAACGUUUACUGCUCCGACUCUCUUCUGGUACGUCCAGUAUCCCAGGGAACCUCCGAGAUAUUUAUUGAAGAGAUUCAACAAGGAACAGGGUGACAAGUCUCAAGAAUUCUCCAACAGGUUUUCUGCUGUUUUGGACAAAGAAAAGAAGAUAGUUACAUUAAAAAUAGCAGCGGCUACUCCCUCUGACUCUGCUGUCUAUCACUGUGCACUGAGCUCCACCCUGAUACAGAAGUUCAGACAGCCCAUACAAAAACCAACAAGACGAUCUCAACAGCUCACCUCCCUCUAA